rnacentral:rRNA from 1 species
UACGGGGAGGGGCAGCGUUGUCGGAAUUACUGGGCGUAAAGGGCUCGUAGGUGGCCAACUAAGUCAGACGUGAAAUCCCUCGGCUUAACCGGGGAACUGCGUCUGAUACUGGAUGGCUUGAGUUUGGGAGAGGGACGCGGAAUUCCAGGUGUAGCGGUGAAAUGCGUAGAUAUCUGGAGGAACACCGGUGGCGAAGGCGGCGUCCUGGACCAACACUGACACUGAGGAGCGAAAGCCAGGGGAGCAAACGGG